rnacentral:rRNA from 1 species
CCCUUUGAUACUCUGGGCGGCACGCGCGCUACAAUGGAUAACUUAACGUGUUACAUGUCCGAAAGGAUGUAUGCAAAUCACAAAUGUUAUGUCUCGAGUGGGAUAGUUUACUGCAAUUAUAGACUUGAACUAGGAAUCCCUUGUAGGUACACUGAAGCAUAGUGUACCGAAUACGUCCCUGCCGUUUGUACACACCGCCCGUCGUUUCUUCCGACUGAUACUCAUUGUGAAUUGCAGGGAUAACGUUGUUGAAAACCGUUGUAAAUGCUGGGUAUUGGAGGAAGAAAAAGUCGUAACA